rnacentral:snRNA from 1 species
GCCUUAAAACUCUUUGUAGACAUCUGAUAAAAUUGGAAUGACAAAUAAAAGAUUAGAAUGGCCACUGUACAAGCAUGACACCCGCCAUUUGAGGAUCAUGGUAAAACAAA